UACAGAGGGUGCGAGCGUUGUUCGGAAUUACUGGGCGUAAAGCGCAUGUAGGUGGACUCUCAAGCCAGGGGUGAAAUCCCGGAGCUUAACUCCGGAACUGCCUUUGGAACUGUGAGUCUGGAGUCUUGGAGGGGAUAGCGGAAUUCCUAGUGUAGAGGUGAAAUUCGUAGAUAUUAGGAGGAACACCGGCGGCGAAGGCGGCUAUCUGGACAAGUACUGACACUGAGAUGCGAAAGCGUGGGGAUCAAACAGG
rnacentral:rRNA from 1 species